rnacentral:tRNA from 1 species
GGAUAGCUCAGUUAGUAGAGCAUGCGACUCUUAAUCUCAGGGUUGUGUGUCUGAGCCCCAACUUGGGCA